rnacentral:rRNA from 1 species
UGACUCGCUAUUAAUCGUUGAUCAGAAUGCCACGGUGAAUACGUUCCCGGUCCGUGUACACACCGCCCGUCAAACCAUGUGAGUGGUUUGCAAAAGAAGUAGGUAGCUUAACCUUCGUGAGGGCGCUUACCACUUUGUUAUUCAUGACUGUGGUGAAGUCGUAACAAGGUAACCGUAGGGUAACCUGCUGUUUGAUCACCUCCUUA